CGGACGGGUGAGUAACGCGUGGAAAACCUGCCGUAUACUGGGGGAUAACACUUAGAAAUAGGUGCUAAUACCGCAUAAGCGCACAGCUUCGCAUGAAGCGGUGUGAAAAACUCUGGUGGUAUACGAUGGUUCCGCGUCUGAUUAGCUAGUUGGUGGGGUAAUGGCCUACCAAGGCAACGAUCAGUAGCCGGCCUGAGAGGGUGAACGGCCACAUUGGGACUGUGACACGGCCCAAACUCCUACGGGAGGCAGCAG
rnacentral:rRNA from 1 species